GUGAAUUGGUCUGAGCACAGGAAUACACUCCCAGGUAUCUCACGUGGCCAGAACUUUGUGGGGAAAAGACAGCAAAGUUCACUACACUCAUGCCAGCAAUCUGACAGCUGGCUAAUAUAAUGUAAAAAAAAAAAACCAAAAAACCAAUAAUUUUUGACAUUCUGACUGGUUACAUGUCCCAAACCUGUCAACAAUGACCCAUAAUUUAUGUACAGACUUAUGGGAGCACAUGAAACCUUCUCUGCCUUCCUGAGUAUCAUCUCAGAAUGCCUCUGCAGAUAUCAAAAACAAGAUUGGACUGGGAUUUCCCCCAACUGCUGAAGUGGCUUUUUUGGUGAAUUUCAGGAUCUUAUUUAUUGCUUUGAAAACUGUGCAGUGAGGGCAAGGAUUGGGGAGAGCAGGCCCACUGGUACCCUGAAAUUUUCUACACUCAGCUUUUGCCCAGAAGAUUUCCAAAGGAGUUUCCAUCACAGCAAUUAUCUGAGCUCUUCAAGAGCUCUCAGGGUUAAGUAUAAUUAUAACAAUUUUAUUUUACAUAAGCGAGGAAAGUCUCACAUUUGUUUUGCAUGUAUCAUUUCAGUUAUGAUUGAGUAG
rnacentral:lncRNA from 1 species